UAGGGAAUCUUCGGCAAUGGACGAAAGUCUGACCGAGCAACGCCGCGGGAGGGAAGAAGGUUUUCGGAUCGUAAAACUCUGUUGUUAGAGAAGAACAAGGACGUUAGUAACUGAACGUCCCCUGACGGUAUCUAACCAGAAAGCCACGGCUAACUACGUGCCAGCAGCCGCGGUAAUACGUAGGUGGCAAGCGUUGUCCGGAUUUAUUGGGCGUAAAGCGAGCGCAGGCGGUUUCUUAAGUCUGAUGUGAAAGCCCCCGGCUCAACCGGGGAGGGUCAUUGGAAACUGGGAGACUUGAGUGCAGAAGAGGAGAGUGGAAUUCCAUGUGUAGCGGUGAAAUGCGUAGAUAUAUGGAGGAACACCAGUGGCGAAGGCGGCUCUCUGGUCUGUAACUGACGCUGAGGCUCGAAAGCGUGGGGAGCAAACAGG
rnacentral:rRNA from 1 species